UGCAUUGCACAUAGAUGAUGAAAUGGAAAUCAAACUUGUAAACAAAGGCAUUUGAGAUAAUAAAGGACAUUAAAUUUCCUCCAACAAAGGGUCAACGCUCACCCGUGAUUGCUUUUUUUUAUUUUUCUUUUUUUUGGUGGUUGAUAUCCUUUGUUUCUCAAUCUCUACUGAAGCACUUUUUUUUUUUUUUUGUUUACUUUGUAUCAUAUUCUUAACAAGCAAAAGCAUCGAUUUGAUAUAUUGCAUAUAGAGCUUCGAUUACCCUCUCGAGGUCUUAAAUCUCUCGUGAUUGAAGGCCUACCAAGACACAGGACGUUGGUAUACCUGGACGUGCUCGCCAAGUUAGCAUUUUCCAUCAGUAGAUAAGCAUUUUCCAUCUGUGCUAUUAUAGUUGUUAAAAGAUACAGAUUAUGUUAUUACCAUAAGAAAUGAGACUCGAGUUCAAGUCUCUUUCUAAUGGAGUUUUUCUAUGAUUUUCUCAUGGUGAUAGAGUGAGAAAUCAUGCCAUAUCUGCAUCAAGGAUUUGAGGGGGAAACACAAAAUAAUCUUUGAAGAUAAAAAUGUCUGCAUAUUGUGAUACACAGAAAAGCCAAAAACGCCGUAGCAGGUCUCCUAUGCUGGUUUUUCAUAUUUUUGCACCAUAUCAAGAGAAACGAGAUUCAAGUCGUGAUCGAGGAAAAAAAAAUAAAGUUUACGAGGAAUAGGCUCGAUUGCUAAUAUUUUAUAUCGAGUUUUGACAAGCCAGCUCAGAAAUCGGGAACGGUCGGAGGCCCACUCACACUAUCCGUAUACCAUCUUGGCAUAAUGGCUUGUAUGUUUUGAGUAUGGCAUGUAUAGCAUUAUAAUCAUUUUGUAUAUAUGGUCUUAUGAUAUGGAUAUUGAGUGGUAUGGAAAUGCUUGGUAAUGAUUAGCCAUUGGAAUGGCUAAUCAUGAUCAUAUUUGGUGUUAUGUAUGCUAAAUUGCUAGCUAAUCCAUGGAAACUAUGAAAUAGGCAAAAUUUACCAUAAAAUAGAUUCAGACAGCAGCAGUGACGUGAGUUUGAAAAAUCAUUAAAAAUAGUAGAGAUAUAAUUAGUUGAUGAAUAAAAUAUGUAAUUGAAGAAUUAUGAGUCUAUUUUCAUAUGGAUGGAACAAAACAGGUAUAUGAGUUAUAUUUUAUGAGAA